rnacentral:tRNA from 1 species
UAAAGCUUUAUAUAGCUUUUCACUUACACUGAAAAGAAUCUAACAAACAUUAUUUAA